AAGAAUUCAAGACACCAUUGACUCCAAUAAAGCUAGAUUAGUUCAAAUUAUAGUGGGACUCUCCCCUGGUCAGGGGUUGGGUCUCAGUAUCGUUGGUGGGCGUGGCUCUCCCACUGGGGACGUACCCAUUUACGUAAAGAGGAUCCUACCUGAGUCAGUGUUACAGAAAGACUCAAAGAUAUAUAAAGACUGGAGAUGAACUGGUAGCAGUUAAUGAUUUAAUAAUACAUAAUGUAACUAAGGACUAUGCUACUGAAGCUCUUACUAAUGUACAGGGAACAGUGAGACUACUACUGAUACAGGACCUAUGAA
rnacentral:misc_RNA from 1 species